GGGUCGGUUCCAGAGCGGUCAAAUGGGGCAGACUGUAAAUCUGCUGGCUCAGCCUUCGGGGGUUCGAUUCCCUCCCGGCCCA
rnacentral:tRNA from 1 species